rnacentral:rRNA from 1 species
CAGAGUUUGAUCCUGGCUCAGGACGAACGCUGGCGGCGUGCUUAACACAUGCAAGUCGAACGGAAAGGCCCUUCGGGGUACUCGAGUGGCGAACGGGUGAGUAACACGUGGGUGAUCUGCCCUGCACUUUGGGAUAAGCCUGGGAAACUGGGUCUAAUACCGAAUAGAACCACACUCUUCAUGGUGUGUGGUGGAAAGCUUUUGCGGUGUGGGAUGGGCCCGCGGCCUAUCAGCUUGUUGGUGGGGUAAUGGCCUACCAAGGCGACGACGGGUAGCCGGCCUGAGAGGGUGACCGGCCACACUGGGACUGAGAUACGGCCCAGACUCCUACGGGAGGCAGCAGUGGGGAAUAUUGCACAAUGGGCGCAAGCCUGAUGCAGCGACGCCGCGUGAGGGAUGACGGCCUUCGGGUUGUAAACCUCUUUCAAUAGGGACGAAGCGCAAGUGACGGUACCUAUAGAAGAAGGACCGGCCAACUACGUGCCAGCAGCCGCGGUAAUACGUAGGGUCCGAGCGUUGUCCGGAAUUACUGGGCGU